GAUGAAGAACGUAGCGAAAUGCGAUAAGUAAUGUGAAUUGCAGAAUUCAGUGAAUCAUCGAAUCUUUGAACACACAUUGCGCCCGCCAGUAUUCUGGCGGGCAUGCCUGUUCGAGCGUCAUUUCAACCAUCAAGCCCCCGGGCCUGUGUUGGGGACCUGCGGCUGCCCGCAGGCCCCGAAAACCAGUGGCGGGCUCGCUGUCACCCCGAGCGUAGUAGCAACACCUCGCCCAGGGAGUGCCGCGGGCACCGGCCGUAAAACCUCCUCUCGCCCCCCCCGCGGGAGGGAACACCCCAAAGGUUGACCUCGGAUCAGGUAGGAAGACCCGCUGAACUUAAGCAUAUCAAUAAGCGGAGGA
rnacentral:misc_RNA from 1 species